rnacentral:rRNA from 1 species
ACUGCUCAGUAACACGUGGACAACCUACCCUUGGGAUGGGGAUAAACCCGGGAAACUGGGUAUAAUACCCGAUAGUCCUCGAAUGCUGGAAUGCAUCGAGGUCGAAAGCUCCGGUGCCCAAGGAUGGGUCUGCGGCCUAUCAGGUAGUAGUGGGUGUAGCGUACCUACUAGCCUACGACGGGUACGGGUUGUGAGAGCAAGAGCCCGGAGAUGGAUUCUGAGACACGAAUCCAGGCCCUACGGGGUGCAGCAGGCGCGAAAACUUUACAAUGCUGGAAACAGCGAUAAGGGAACCUCGAGUGCCAGGUUACAAAUCUGGCUGUCGUGAUGCCUAAAAAGCAUUGCAUAGCAAGGGCCGGGCAAGACCGGUGCCAGCCGCCGCGGUAACACCGGCGGCUCGAGUGGUAACCGUUAUUAUUGGGUCUAAAGGGUCUGUAGCCGGCCGGAUAAGUCUCUUGGGAAAUCUGGCAGCUUAACUGUCAGGCUUUCAGGAGAUACUGUCUGGCUCGAGGCCGGGAGAGGUGAGAGGUACUUCAGGGGUAGGGGUGAAAUCUUGUAAUCCUUGAAGGACCACCAGUGGCGAAGGCGUCUCACCAGAACGGACCUGACGGCAAGGGACGAAAGCUAGGGGCACGAACCGGAUUAGAUACCCGGGUAGUCCUAGCCGUAAACGAUACUCGCUAGGUGUCGGCCACGGUGCGACCGUGGUCGGUGCCGUAGGGAAGCCGUGAAGCGAGCCACCUGGGAAGUACGGCCGCAAGGCUGAAACUUAAAGGAAUUGGCGGGGGAGCA